GAUGAACGCUGGCGGCGUGCUUAACACAUGCAAGUCGAACGAUGAUGCCCAGCUUGCUGGGUGGAUUAGUUGCGAACGGGUGAGUAACACGUGAGUAACCUGCCCUUGACUCUGGGAUAAACCAGGGAAACUGGGUCUAAUACCGGAUACGACCAUCUGGCGCACGUCAUGGUGGUUGAAAGUUUUUGUGGUUUUGGUUGGACUCGCGGGCUAUCAGCUUGUUGGUGGGGUAAUGGCCUACCAAGGCGACGACGGGUAGCCGGCCUGAGAGGGUGAGCGGGCACACUGGGACUGAGAGACGGAGCAGAAGCCUACGGGAGGCAGCAGUGGGGAAUAUUGCACAAUGGGCGCAAGCCUGAUGCAGCGACGCCGCGUGAGGGAUGACGGCCUUCGGGUUGUAAACCUCUUUCAGUAGGGAAGAAGCGAAAGUGACGGUACCUGCAGAAGAAGCGCCGGCUAACUACGU
rnacentral:rRNA from 1 species